rnacentral:rRNA from 1 species
GACGAACGCUGGCGGCGUGCCUAAUACAUGCAAGUAGAACGCUGAAGCGAGGAGCUUGCUCUUCUUGGAUGAGUUGCGAACGGGUGAGUAACGCGUAGGUAACCUGCCUGGUAGCGGGGGAUAACUAUUGGAAACGAUAGCUAAUACCGCAUAAAAUUGAUUAUUGCAUGAUAAUUAAUUGAAAGAUGCAACUGCAUCACUACCAGAUGGACCUGCGUUGUAUUAGCUAGUUGGUGAGGUAACGGCUCACCAAGGCGACGAUACAUAGCCGACCUGAGAGGGGGAUCGGCCACACUGGGACUGAGACACGGCCCAGACUCCUACGGGAGGCAGCAGUAGGGAAUCUUCGGCAAUGGGGGGAACCCUGACCGAGCAACGCCGCGUGAGUGAAGAAGGGUUUCGGAUCGUAAAGCUCUGUUGUAAGAGAAGAACGGGUGUGAGAGUGGAAAGUUCACACUGUGACGGUACCUUACCAGAAAGGGACGGCUAACUACGUG